GAUGAACGCUGGCGGCGUGCUUAACACAUGCAAGUCGAACGGUGAAGGCGGAGCUUGCUCUGCUGGAUCAGUGGCGAACGGGUGAGUAACACGUGAGCAAUCUGCCCCUGACUCUGGGAUAAGCGCUGGAAACGGCGUCUAAUACUGGAUACGAGCUGCGAAGGCAUCUUCAGCAGCUGGAAAGAAUUUCGGUCAGGGAUGAGCUCGCGGCCUAUCAGCUUGUUGGUGAGGUAAUGGCUCACCAAGGCGUCGACGGGUAGCCGGCCUGAGAGGGUGACCGGCCACACUGGGACUGAGACACGGCCCAGACUCCUACGGGAGGCAGCAGUGGGGAAUAUUGCACAAUGGGCGAAAGCCUGAUGCAGCAACGCCGCGUGAGGGACGACGGCCUUCGGGUUGUAAACCUCUUUUAGCAGGGAAAAAGCGAAAGUGACGGUACCUGCAGAAAAAGCGCCGGCUAACUACGUG
rnacentral:rRNA from 1 species